CGAACGCUGGCGGCGUGCUUAACACAUGCAAGUCGAACGGUGAAGCGCCUUCCUUUUUGGUGGGUGUGGAUGAGUGGCGAACGGGUGAGUAACACGUGAGUAACCUGCCCCCUUCUUCUGGAUAACCGCAUGAAAGUGUGGCUAAUACGGGAUAUUCUGGGUCUGUCGCAUGAUGGGUCUGGGAAAGAUAUUGUUUCGGUGGGGGUUGGGCUCGCGGCCUAUCAGCUUGUUGGUGGGGUGAUGGCCUACCAAGGCGGUGACGGGUAGCCGGCCUGGGAGGGUGGACGGUCACACUGGGACUGAGACACGGCCGAGACUCCUACGGGAGGCAGCAGUGGGGAAUAUUGCACAAUGGGCGCAAGCCUGAUGCAGCGACGCCGCGUGAGGGAUGGAGGCCUUCGGGUUGUGAACCUCUUUCGCCAGUGAAGCAGGCCUGCCUCGUUUGUGGGUGGGUUGACGGUAGCUGGAUAAGAAGCGCCGGCUAACUACGUG
rnacentral:rRNA from 1 species